rnacentral:ncRNA from 1 species
CAUCGCCCGUCGCUCCUACCAAUUGAAUGAUCCGGUGAAAUGUUCGGAUCGCGGCGACGUGGGCGGUUCAAUGUCCACAACUUCGCGACAAGUCCAUUGAACCUUGUCAUAUAUAGGAAUGAAAAGUCGUAACAAGGUUUUCGUAGGUGAAAUUGCGAAAG